rnacentral:rRNA from 1 species
UACGUCGGGUCCGAGCGUUAAUCGGAAUUACUGGGCGUAAAGCGUGCGCAGGCGGUUUUGUAAGCCAGAUGUGAAAGCCCCGGGCUCAACCUGGGAACUGCAUUUGGGACUGCAAGGCUGGAGUACGGCAGAGGGAGGUGGAAUUCCACGUGUAGCAGUGAAAUGCGUAGAGAUGUGGAGGAACACCGAUGGCGAAGGCAGCCCCCUGGGUUAACACUGACGCUCAGGCACGAAAGCGUGGGGAGCAAACAGG